rnacentral:lncRNA from 1 species
AUGCGUCAGAUACUCGGGAUGUAUCUUGAUAUGCCUGGGGAAACGUACCAAUCAAAGCUGACUGUGACCAUGAAUAGAAGACAUUCCUUGUAUUGUUUCUUAUGCACUACCAGCUUACGUUCAAAGGGACUCUCAUUUCUUUCUGCCUGAGGAGUGAAAAUACUCAGAUGGGUAGUAACUAGGGUGCCUUCUCAUGAAUACCAGUGUACAUGAUCAUUUUACAUGUAUUUUUACAGUGCCUUAUGCAUGGAUAGUACUCAAGAAAGAUUUACUGAAAUGAACUAAACUGAGAUUAAUUUGCUUAUUAUAAAGCUCAUACUAUAGCCAAAACUUGGGGUAUGAGAGAAUGGGCAGCAUCUGUCAUCAUACAGAUACGUAUUUCUAAUAAAGUUUGAACUCUGGAGGAAUUUGUCUUCAUUCCAAGCCUUCUAUUAGGACUCAUUCAUAGUAUGAGAGAAGUUGAGAAGUCUUGUCAACACCACAUCAUUCAGGUCAUAGAUGGAUCCUUCCCACCCUGAAAUGUUAUACGUGGCCACGGCAAUAAUAAAUACAUGGCUAGCGCUGUCCUGAAGUAUUUGAAACCCAGGGUUAGAGCUAUCUAAGUCAGCACUGAUAACAUCAGAAUUUUAUUACAGUGUGUCCAUCCUGGCAACAUUGUGACCCAAGCAGCUAAUGGAGUAGCAGCCUGUUUCUUGGAUGAAUGAGAACAAGUUCAUUCACAGGAAUAGCUAAGUGCUUUAUACAAGUGGGGCACAUACAGCUAAUGCUUUAAAUUAAAUUUAACUUUUCUAAUAUGAUGAAAUAUUCUGGAAAUUCUGAUAUCUAUAUACGUUGAAUAAUGUGUUAUAGCACUUAUGAUUUUUUAAAAACAUCUUUGUUACUGUUAGUUCAUGUUAAAUAAGCAAAUAAAAAUAUCUGAGCUUAACAUUUUAUAUUUCUUUUUAAAAAUUUCCUCAGCUCAAUUUCCUUUAAUUCUUUGUGCAAAAAUCCUUACAACUAAAUUCAUAUUAACUUGGCUAAUAAAAAUGUCAU